UAACUUUGGUGGAAGAGAAGCUGAGAACACAGCAAAUUUUUGAAGCCAAAUAGGUUGACAGAAGUGGUGACUCAGCACCAAGCUUGUGCCUUAGUGGAAGAGUGUUAGAGACAAGUCCAUGGGACUUGAGAACCUUCAAGCUCCACCUUUGAGAAGAGAGGUAAGCCAUCAAGUUGAAAGACUCCCUUUAAGUUCCAGGCAACCCAGUACAGAUGUCACUUCCAUGAUUAUACUAGAGAGAUUCUCCUUAAUGGCUUGAUGAAAUAAGCAGCCAUUCUGAAAAAGCCCAAGUGUCAAGAAACUGCAAGCAACCUCUAGGAACUGUGGGAGACAGCUGACAGCCAGCAAGAAGCUAGGGACCUGAAUCCUACAACCACAAGAAUAGAAGAGUUCUGAUUUCUAAUUGACUUGCCCGCAACCGACUGGUUGGUGUCCUUGAGCAAAGUUUGGAGUCAUCUUUCAUCCGUCGGAACAGGGAUUGCUGGCCAUUCCCAGCAGGUUUGAGGAUUUCUGAUUUUUGCAAACUUGCACAGGGUAAACCAGUCUGGAGUCAAGGACCUUUAUUAAGACAAAGACCUUUAUUCAUUGGAAUAUGUGAGUAUGGAAACACAAAGAUGGCAAGAAUCAUUCUUAUUUAUUAGUCUCCCUCUUCCCAAACUCCAUAUAGAGUUUCUUCUCCAAUCAUUAUCUAGAGUGCAUUUUGAACAAUUAGGAUGAAAAAAGAACCACAUGAUACGGUGGGUCAGAGAAACAUUUGCCACAAAAAGAAAUGUAAAUUUGAAAGUGACAAGUGCUGUGAAGUAAAGUACAAGGUAUUUUAACAUCCUAUGAAGAAUCUAGGAAGGUUAGUCAGAUGUCAGUUGCUUAAAGCAAUGCUGAUUGUGCUAAAAUUGGAAGGGUCAGGUAGAGCUAACCAGCUGGAGUUCAAUGUGGAGAAAGAAGAAAAAGUAUAACAAUAGAACAUAAAAAGUUCUGAAGUUAGACAAGGCCUACAUUGAUAAAGGGUUUAGGAAACAUGAUCUGUGGCAUGUUUAGACACCCUUUCAAAAUAAAGGAUAAGUUACCACAAUUUGUAACUUGUAGUACUAGGAAAAAAAACGGGCAAUGGUUUAUAGGCCUCCUUGGAUUUUGGAAGGAGCAUAUUCUAAAACUGGGAACUCUGAUAAAGCUAACUUUGAAUGCGUCUCAGAGCAAGAAAAGGUUCUCAGCAGUUCCAAGCUGUGGUUCAGGCAACAUGCCACUUUGACCAUUUGACCUAGCAGAUUCUAUGAUGCAAAAGGUAUCUAUGAUAAAGUUACCAUUUUGA